CCAUACAUAAUCUUAACAACUAGAUACAACAAUAAUUAAUAAUAACUAGAGCCAUCCAACAGUCUGGGGAGCUGGCUGGCUGGCUGAAGUGCCUGGUAACCAGAGAGUGUGGUAGCCCAGGGAGCUGAGGAGCCAGCUACUUAGGGAGUCUGGAGCUGGAUGGCCCAGCCGCUUGCCUGCCUUCCAGGAUGGCAGCUUGGGAACUGAUCAUCUGGGUAUUUGAACAGCCAGGAACUCAGACAUGUGACUCCCCAGUAAAACUUCCCACUACGUCUGAUGUUCUAAAGGAUAUUGGAAGGUGAAUGGAGAAAUACUCUCAAUGAAGAUACGAUUGAGUAAUUUCAGCAAUAGAUUUGAAAUACUCCUGGAACCACUAGUGUGAUCCCGGCAAGAUUGGAUACAGCACAAGCAUCAGCAGUGCAAAUUUUCUCACCCCGGCCAACUAAUGUUCCUCAACUGUGACCAGGAAGAACCACCUCUGGAAAGUUCAGUCCCCAGCUCAAUUAAAUCCUUGGC